UAAUAAUAAUAAUAAUGAUAAUAAUUCAGUUACAUUGCUAAUAAUGAUAAGUUUUAUUUCACACAGAAGCAUGUAGAAAAAAAUGGCAUACAAAAGUUAAUAGAAAUGAAAGGAGUGCAGAGAUACAGUCUUGCACUUAAUUAAUGUGUGAAGGAAGGCAAAUUAGUGCUUAGUUGAGUAUUUGUAUAUGUGUUGAUUCCUGAUUAAUUGCAUUUUUACAGAAUUAAAUCAAGCUGGUAGUGCCCUGUCUUCUGAAACAAUUUUAUUAUGUUUUUCUUAAAUUGUGAAUGUUUUUUGGCACACAUGACUUCUUCUGGUGUGUGUGUGUGUGUGUGUGUGUGUGUAAAAUAAUAAUUUGUUUUUUAGUCGUUUUAACAUGAUCAGGCAGGCUUAUAUCAUAACUUAGGAUCUCAUGGGUAGGCCUAAAGGUUGAAAGACAUGCAGUAGUUUGCCACAGAACAAAAAAAGCGACCAUUAAACUAUUCUUACUCUUCUUAUUCGUGUGUGUGUGAUUAUGGUAAUAAGUUACGGCAUGCAACGAUGACAUUGAACACACACACACACACACAAAAAAAAAAAAAAAAAAAAAAAAGAUAUGAACUGAUCGAGUGUAUGCUGAGAUAACCAGAAGGAGAGAGUGGGAAUGUGACUAUAAUACUUAUGAUAAUAUUUAUAACAAGUACAACUGUGAUAUGCUUCAAAGUGAAAAAUAAUAAUAAUAAUAAUAGUAAUAAUGUGGAGGAAUUUAAAUCUUGACUCAUCAAUUCUCCUUUGUUGUCUACUUACAACAAUAAACUAUCAAUCAAUCAAUCAAUCAUCAAUCAUUUUUGUGUAUAUAAAAAGUAAAAUAAUCAGACAGGUUAAUGAGGUAAAAUAAACAAAGACAGGUAAAUAAAGUGAACUCAUUGUGUACAUCCUGCGAAAGUUAAUGCCAAUAUAUACUUUUAACUAACUGCUUCUUCUCAUUCUCCUUUGUUGUUUACUUGCAACAAUAAACUAUUAAUCAAUUCUCAUUACUGAAGAAAAAGAAUCGAGGUGCUAUCCAUUCCAACCCCCGAACAAUUUACAUAAAAAAAAAAUGGACUGUAUUUUCAUAUUAUAGAAGUCGCUCCAAACCUAAAUAAUAAAAAAAAAUAAUUAAUGGACUAAUCUCAUAUACUUUUAACUAACUACUUCCUUUUAGUAAUUACUGAAGAAAAAGGAUCGAGGUGGUACUAUAGACAAGUUAGCAUUAAUUACCAAAGAGCGAGAUGAUGCAAGAAUUAAGGAAUAAUCUGCUGAGCUGGGUACAUAUCAUAAGGUCAAGCUGAUCAUGGUGUCACUGCAUAGCGCCACUGAAGGGCAGACUGAUGUGUGUUGUGGCAACGUACGUAGAUCAUCAUUAUUUGCAUUGGUUACGUGUCACCAAGGCCACCUGCAAUGCCUGACUGACCACCUGGCUCGCUUUACUACGCAGAUGAAGGAAGAUGGAAAUUAUAUAAAAGAUAGUUCUCCAUAGCACAUAAAAGCGACUAGAACAUUAUCAUUACUCCUCUUAUUCGUUGUAAUAUGUUGAGGAAGGUUUAAUUGUUGUAACUUUGUAUCUAACUUUACUACGCAGAUGAAGGAAGAUGGAAAUUAUAUAAAAGAUAGUUCUCCAUAGCACAUAAAAGCGACUAGAACAUUAUCAUUACUCCUCUUAUUCGUUGUAAUAUGUUGAGGAAGGUUUGUUGUAACUUUGUAUCUAUUAACUUUACUACGCAGAUGAAGGAAGAUGGAAAUUAUAUAAAAGAUAGUUCUCCAUAGCACAUAAAAGCGACUAGAACAUUACCAUUACUCCUCUUAUUCGUUGUAAUAUGUUAAGGAAGGUUUGUUGUAACUUUGUAUCUAACUUUACUACGCAGGUAUAGUUGAAGAGAUAGAUAUAUAGUAGUUUCCAAUCUGACAAAGAAGAGACAAAGACACGCUAAUACUCUUCUUAUUCGUUUUAAUAUCUUCACUGUAACAUGCUGAAGAAAUCUCAUCAUUACUUAGAUCUAUGACUAAAGAGCGAG